rnacentral:rRNA from 1 species
UACGUAGGGGGCAAGCGUUGUCCGGAUUUACUGGGCGUAAAGCGCGCGCAGGCGGCAGUGCAAGUAAGGUGUGAAAUCUCCCUGCUCAACGGGGAGGGUGCAUUUUAGACUGCACAGCUAGAGGUCGGUAGAGGGGGGUGGAAUUGCUGGUGUAGCGGUGAAAUGCGUAGAGAUCAGCAGGAACACCCGUGGCGAAGGCGGCCCCCUGGGCCGUACCUGACGCUGAGGCGCGAAGGCUAGGGGAGCGAACGGG